UUUUUUUUUUCAUUAAUGACCUUUCUUGGUUGGCUUAAGUCCUAGAAUUUUUUUUUUUUUCCUGUUAAGUUCCAAGGACUUUUCACUACUUGGAACUUUAGGGCAUGUACUGUUUUUAGGAUAGUUUUAAUUUGAUAUUGAAUGGCAAAUAACAGCAACUCUGCAACUGCAACUCCCUCCUUUCUCUUUUGCUUCUUUCUUGAACAACAAAAGCUCCAAGAACAGCUGCUGCUCUACCUGUAAUCAACCUCCCAAAUCCAGUUUUAAACGACUUGAAACUAGAGUUAAUUGAAGAAGGGAAAGCCCCAUCAUCUUCCUCUGUUGAGGAAGUUACCAAGAAGUGUGGUCUUGAAGCUGGUCUAUGGAAGAUAUUCAGCU